rnacentral:rRNA from 1 species
AUUGAACGCUGGCGGCGUGCCUAACACAUGCAAGUCGAGCGGUAACAGGUGUAGCAAUACAUGCUGACGAGCGGCGGACGGGUGAGUAACGCUUGGGAAUCUGCCUAUUAGUGGGGGACAACCCGGGGAAACUCGGGCUAAUACCGCAUACGCUCUACGGAGGAAAGCCGGGGACCGCAAGGCCUGGCGCUAAUAGAUGAGCCCAAGUCGGAUUAGCUAGUUGGUAGGGUAAUGGCCUACCAAGGCGACGAUCCGUAGCUGGUCUGAGAGGACGACCAGCCACACUGGGACUGAGACACGGCCCAGACUCCUACGGGAGGGCAGCAGUGGGGAAUAUUGGACAAUGGGCGCAAGCCUGAUCCAGCGAUGCCGCGUGUGUGAAAGAAGGCCUGCGGGGUUNUAAAGCAUUUCAGUAGGGAAGAAAGCCGAGUGCUAAUAUCACUCGGUCUU